rnacentral:rRNA from 1 species
AUGAACGCUGGCGGCGUGCCUAAUCCCUGCAAGUCGAGCGAACAGACGAGGAGCUUGCUCCUCUGACGUUAGCGGCGGACGGGUGAGUAACACGUGGAUAACCUACCUAUAAGCCUGGGAUAACUUCGGGAAACCGGAGCUAAUACCGGAUAAUAUAUUGAACCGCAUGGUUCAAUAGUGAAAGACGGUUUUGCUGUCACUUAUAGAUGGAUCCGCGCCGCAUUAGCUAGUUGGUAAGGUAACGGCUUACCAAGGCAACGAUGCGUAGCCGACCUGAGAGGGUGAUCGGCCACACUGGAACUGAGACACGGUCCAGACUCCUACGGGAGGCAGCAGUAGGGAAUCUUCCGCAAUGGGCGAAAGCUUGACGGAGCAACGCCGCGUGAGUGAUGAAGGUCUUCGGAUCGUAAAACUCUGUUAUUAGGGAAGAACAAAUGUGUAAGUAACUAUGCACGUCUUGACGGUACCUAAUCAGAAAGCCACGGCUAACUACGUG